rnacentral:rRNA from 1 species
UACGAAGGGGGCUAGCGUGGUUCGGAAUUACUGGGCGUAAAGGGCGCGCAGGCGGCCCUCCAAGUCAGGCGUGAAAGCCCCGGGCUCAACCCGGGAAUAGCGCUUGAGACUGGGGGGCUUGAGUUCGGGAGAGGAGAGUGGAAUUCCCAGUGUAGAGGUGAAAUUCGUAGAUAUUGGGAAGACCACCGGUGGCGAAGGCGGCUCUCUGGACCGACACUGACGCUGAGGCGCGAAAGUGUGGGGAGCAAACAGG